ensembl:lncRNA
UUGUAAACCUGUGGUGUGUAAACGUCACACAAUGAAAGAGAUAGUCACAAAGAACUGUUUUCUAUGUUGAUGACAAAAGAUAGCAUUUUCGUUUUGUUGAUGAUGAUAAUAGAACAGCAUUAGUUUUAUUGCAACACACAACUUAUUUGCACUGUAGACGGCUGUAGAAAUUAGUGACAAUGUUUAGUCAUGGUGUCAAAUUAUAGGCCAAUCUGGAAAGAUGACUUAUUGUGGGUUUCUUACCACCUCCAUUGCACUGUCAGGGUAAAUGACUAAUGAGAAAACACACUGUCGGCCCCUCAGCCCUGUAUCACAGGCCCCAUAAUAGUCUGACCCACAGUCGCACUAAAUCUUAACACACUCUCCUCUUCUCAGUGAUCUGUGAAGAGAAGCUUUACAUUUUCAAUUGCAGUGGACUGGAUGGUCUGUUAAUUGUAUCUAUUGGCAAAUGGCCUACAUUUGACUGUUUACACACACACACUCACUCUCUCUCACACCAAAAAAUAUGCUCUACCCUAUCUUCCCCAUCUCAAAAAAAAAAAAGUAAAAAUAUCACAAUGCACCUAUUUUGUGACGUGACCUGAGUGGCAGGAGGAACUUUCCUCUCUGACCUCUAACGCCUGUGACCCCUGCACUGCCAUAAUGGAGACAGGAAGAUAUUUAGGGGUCUGGUUGAGUGGGGGUGAAAGGUGAGGAUCACAGGUCAAGCUCUAAAAAUGAUCCGUCUCUAUGAAAACGCACAGAGAGGCAUUAUGGGGGCUCGUCCUUUGAUGAAGCCUCAGCUAUUUACUUUAAAUUUGGAGGAAAAUUACCUGAUAAUUACUCCCAUGAUGAACUGGUGUGGACUGUUCAAUUUCAGACUACUUUGUUGCACACACACAACAUGUGCAGGUUUGUGUGGGAGCGACAAAUAUGUGAUAUUAUCAAUGAAUGUGCAUUUAACAUGCGUUUCAACACUUCUAAUCUUGGUGGAAUGUGGUAAGGCUAGUUCUGACAUUUAUGUCUUUUCACUGUGAAUUACCUGAAAUACUAUCUAAGUUUAUGUAAAGAACAAAAGCACGUAGGUAUUUU